AGCAGUCGCCGCGGUAAUACGUAGGUCCCGAGCGUUGUCCGGAUUUAUUGGGCGUAAAGGGAGCGCAGGCGGUUUAGUAAGUCUGAAGUUAAAGGCAUUGGCUCAACCAAUGUAUGCUUUGGAAACUGUUAGACUUGAGUGCAGAAGGGGAGAGUGGAAUUCCGUGUGUAGCGGUGAGAUGCGUAGAUAUAUGGAGGAACACCGGUGGCGAAAGCGGCUCUCUGGUCUGUCACUGACGCUGAGGCUCGAAAGCGUGGGUAGCGAACAGGAUUAGAUACCCGUGUAGUCCCUGUCUCUUAUACC
rnacentral:rRNA from 1 species